GAAAGAACAUAGGGGUGUAAACCCUAGCUCUCAAGAACAACAAUACAAAUUCAGCCCAAUCAAAGCCAAAAUCGAAUGGAAAGCAUUGCAUGAACGAAGAUCUCUCACCAUCUAGUCCUAACAAACAUAUGGAUAGGUAUCGCAUGAGCAUGGAAAGCAAAUGGGUCAAGAGGAGGCAAGAAAGCGAAUGCAAAUAGGAACGCUUAAGGUAUCGCUCGGGUUUCCUCUACCAUUAACGAAGUGAAGCGGACUUAGCUCGAGUUGAGAGCAAGGAUUGUACGGGGUAGAACGGUCACAUAGUUUGAUUUAUAUAGGCCUUGAAGCAUUAAUAUUGUAGAACGUUGUAAACCAUUUUUAAUGAAUAUAUGACAUUUCGUAUUUGAACCUUCGUGUGAAUAAUAUGUCUAAUAAAGAACGAAAUUUUCGGGCUCA